CUCAGCCUCCUGAGUAGCCGGACUACAGGCGCCGGCCACCCCACCGCGCUAAUUUUUUUGUAUUUUUUAGUAGAGACGGGGUUUUGUGUCCGGAAUUGGUGGGUUCUUGGUCUCACUGACUUCAAGAAUGAAGCCGCGGACCCUCGCAGUGAGUGCUACAGCUUUUAAGGUGGCGCCUUUGGAGUUUGUUCCUUCUGAUGUUCGGAUGUGUUCGGAGUUUCUUCCUUCUGGUGGGUUCGUGAUCUCGCUGGCUCAGGAGUGAAGCUGCAGACCUUCACGGGGAGUGUUACAGCUCUUAAGGUGGCACAUCUGGAGUUUGUUCCUUCUGACGUUCAGAUGUGUUCGGAGUUUCUUCCUUCUGGUGGGUUCGUGAUCUCGCUGGCUCAGGAGUGAAGCUGCAGACCUUCAGGGGGAGUGUUACAGCUCUUAAGGUGGCGCGUCUGGAGUUUCUUCCUUCUGGUGGGUUCGUGAUCUCGCUGGCUCAGGAGUGAAGCUGCAGACCUUCACGGAUCUCGCUGUGUUGCCCGGGCUGGUCUCAAACUUCUGGACACAAACAAUCCUCCACAUUGGCCUCCCAAAAUGCUGGAAUUACAGGUGUGAGCCACUGGACCAGCAGGACUCUAAAUUUUGACAACUUCAACUAAUGUUGAAUGCCAAAGUGUAAACGUUGAUCGUGUGACAAAUGUAAAUUGAUUCAUGAGGAGAGACUGUGGUUUGGUGCAAAGAAAGUGUUCUGGAAUUGGAAGAUCUGGAUCAGACUCAGGCUCUGUCAGAUAAUGGCUGUAUCAUCUUUGAAAAGUUAAGUAACUGUCUGGGGCUCUGUCUCUUUGUCUACUAUAUGAUGAUAAAAAUACCUAAUUUACACUGUUACUCUGAGAAGUAGAUGCUAAGUAAAAAGACCUUAGACAAAUUCUUAUCAUAUGGUAAAUACAUAGUAGUGGUUUAAAAAAUCAAAAAAGAGGCUUGAUGCAGUGGUUCACACCUGUAAUCCCAGCACUUCGGGAGGCCAAUGUGGGAGGAUUGCUUAAAGCCAAGAGUUCAAGGCCAGCCUGGGCAACAAAGUGAGACACACUGUCUGUACAAAAAACAAACAAACAAACAAAAAAGGAAUAAAGUUUUACAGAGGUAAUAUUUGGAAGUGAAUUUUUAAUUCAAUUAUGACUGGAUUUUUGUGCUUAUUUUUGCUUGUUUUUGUGUAGUCUACAUAAUGGUGACAUCUUUUUUCAGGCAAAACAAUCUACUAAUGAAAUCAGAAGGAUUUCCAGUGAUGCUGCCCACAUUUCUGUGAAAAAGAGGAAGUUUUUUAAGUCAGAUGGAAGUUACACUUUUUCAAAAAAAAAAAUAUGCAGGGAAGA
rnacentral:lncRNA from 1 species